AUACAUAAAAUAAAUAAAAAAAUCUUAAAAAAAAAAGAAUAUAGCUCUGGCUGACCUAUAACUUGCCAUGUGGCCCAGGUUAGCUUGAACCUCACUGAACCCCUCCUGCUUCUGCCCAUAGAGUAUUGGGAUUAAAGGCUUGGGCCACCACGCCCUUCUUGAGGCCACAUUAACUCCAAUAGUUUUCUUUCCAAGACACUCUGCCAAGCUACAGCUAAGCGUUGAGAGCCUCAGGGAAGCAGGGCAUGUCCAUUCCCACUGGGCAGCAGACACCACCAGGAGAAGCAGCUAUCUGUCCCUUUUGGGCUAAGCAUCAUGAGCCCCCAAGGUCAAGGUCUCUGCUGACCCAUCAGCAUUGGGAAACACAAGUGCUGUCAUCAGAAGGAGCCACUGCCCAACCCCCGCAGACUCCGGCUUCCUGCUUCGAGCUUGCUGCCCAACAGAUGUUCCUGUUGUGUGGGGCCUCCUAGAAUGUUCUGUGGAAACCCUACAGAUGCUCACUAAUGUGCAUGAAGUGGUCCCCAUCAGUUACCUCUUCUCUUAGAAGAAGCUUGGACUUGCCUGUGCUUUCCAGAGCUCCCAAGAGCAAGGCUCUGAUCUGAGUGAGUUCAGAGAAGCUUGUCACCUAUCACGGCUCUGAUUCUACCACUGUGAGGACAGCAGGGGGCAGCUGGAGCCUGCAGAUGUGGAGCAGCGAUGGGCCUCUAACAUCUGCUCCUGGCCAAGUCUUUCCAUUGCUUCCCACGAGAGGCCCCAUCAUGACGGGAGAGGCUUGGAUCAGUGAGUUUGGGUUCAAUGACUUAGAAUCCGGGCUUGCUGGCACUCUGAAGCAUCUAUAUUCCCUUGGGGCUUGUGCUGGAGGUCCCAUCUCUGAGGAAGAGGAACAGUGGGGGUGGAGCAGGACCCAUCUUCCUGCUAGCCCAGGAUCUGAAGGCCAAGGCCCAUGUUCCUGGGGUGGUGGGAGAGUCCACUGUGUCUCCUCUAAUGAUCCAAGGUCAAAGUCAGACAUUUGCAUGGGGAAAGGUUCCUGGGGCUUUUAGGACAAAUGGGGAAAGCACAGUGAACUUGGAUAAAGGAGGCAGACAGGCACGCGCGCGCACACACACGCGCGCGCGCGCACACACACACACACACACACACACACACACACACACACACGCACACGCACACGCACACACACACACACAGAGGAAAGCUGCAUAGUGACCAUACAUGACCCACACACACAAUGCAGGGCGUCUUUGACCCAACUACUGCUCCAGGCCCCUGUGGAGCGAGCAGACUUCUCUGAAGCUCUGUUAAAACACGUCGUUUUAGGGUACAAGUGAAUAGCGGCAUUAUUCAAAUUCAAGGGGGCCAGGUCUGCUGGUUCAGGCCUGCCGUGGCAGUUACUCAGAGCAGAGGCAGGUUAUAAAUUCAAAGCCUGCCUGGGCAACAGAUUUCAAGCCCACUCUGGGCAAUUUAGUGAGGCUCUGUCUCCAAAGAAAAAAGGAGAAAAAAAAAAUCAAAGAGAAAUGGAAUCUUCCUGCCUACACCCUGGGAUAUGAGUUCCCUUCCGGCAAGUCCUAAUUUUGGCAUGAGAUACUCCAGACAUACAGGAAAACAACGCUCCCACACUCAAACUCCCUCUCCAUAAAAGCAGCAUGCUGUCCUUUCACAACAGAGUUUGUGGUCCAGAGGGCAGAUCACAUUGAUCUUACAGCUCUGCAGAUAUCCCACACAUACACCCACACACACACACACAAGCUGCCCCCGUGGAGAGCACAAAACAGCUGGUCAUUUCUAGACUACACAAGGUGGUGACUGAGCAUCUGGAUCCUUGCUCUGGUUAGUGUUAGGAUACUUUGUAUCCUCUGUAUUUAUAGCUGAGCUGUCUUCCAACACAUGGGAAGCCCAGGAUCCUGGACAGAUUUCACUGGUGAUGGCACAAGACGGAACUGCCUUUGUGUCUCUUGCUUCUUCCAGAGGGUGAGCCCGUCCAGCCCGAGUCCCUGGACCCUGGACACUGCAGGCUGUGAACUUCUCAGAUGACCGACUUUCCCCAUCUGAGUAGCAGCCCUGCUUGUUGAGCUCACUGUACGGUGAUCAGGGUUUAUCUUCAUACAGUAACGAUAAGAAAGGAAGCCAAGGCCAUGUGCAGCUUCUCUAUAUCAGACAUCCUGAGGAAGGGUGUUGGACAGUCAAGGAGUACAUUGGGAGAGAGGACUCGUGACCUGAGUCACGGGGAGUGUGUGCCUGAGGCAGCCUAACCAAGUCCAUCUUCAUUUCAAGCAUUCGGUUUUGUGGAACCCCUUCUCCUGACAACUUAGAUACCGCCUGGUUAUGAACCAAAUGGAUGGUGGGAAGGGUCUCCAUCCCGCUGCUCCCUUGGCUCUGCUGGCAGUAAUCACGGGAACUGAUGAGAGCUGCCUAACUCCACAUUUGUUUGACUGUUGCUUCCCUGUCGGUUUGAGCCCGUCUCUAGCGACAGAAGCGGGUGUAGACACAGAGCAGGAGCCAGUUUAGUGAUAGAGAUCAGACUCAGUGCUUCCAUGUCCCUAUGGGGCCUUCAAGGACCAAGUGUUCUUGUCAAAGAGGGCUUGGAGGAAAUGUCACAGCAGUAAAGCAGGGGUGGGGGUGGGGGGAGGUGGCCGGU